AAUAAAAGAAUUUAAGUUACGGCGAGUCUUGGUUUGGGUAUUGAGGGCCUCAAAAUAGGGAUGGGAAAAAAAAAAAAAAAAUUAUGGCAAGUCGGUCUGAAUCGCAAGAAAGUCUGAAUCACAACAAUUUCUUCUGCAGAAACUAGGGUUUGUGUUGUGUUUGUUUGCUGAUCGUCAUCAAUUUGUAACUAAUCUUGACCAUAUUAUAUAUCGUACUAUGGAUCUUGAUAAAGAACCAGAACCUGAUCUUGAAGAUUACCAAAUAGACCGUUCAUAUAUAAAGAUGAGAGAACAGGCUAAGACUCGGUCGCUAAAGCUAAGGAUAAAGAAUCAAUACUAGAAGGUUACAGAUCUGGUGUGAGGAGCUAUUAUUUUGAAUUUGAAUUUGAAUUUGAAUGCAAAGAAGCCUGGGCCGAAAAAAUGUGGAAGGGAGUAAUAGUAAAACAUGGACGAAUGAAAGAAGAUGCUCGAUUUUGGUGUUUGUGCAGAAAAUGAAGAUAUCAGAGAGUAGCCAUUGAUUCAAUACUGAUGUUGAAGGAAUUCAGAACUCCAUAUCUGUUGAGACCGACUGAUGUUGGUGUGGACUUCAACCAAGAAGUGAUUGUGAUUAGUCAUGAAGGAUUUGAUUCCUAUUUUGUUGAGUGGUUGAAGCUUGGAAACAACAUAGAAGCUGAGAGUCAGCCUUUUUUUGUAAACACAUUCGGCGACUAUGAAUUCAAGGAGUUCUGGAUUGAAUCGAUGAUGAGAUAAGAAUAUUUUUUUAUUUCAAAAAACUCCUUUCUUUAUUUGAGUAGUAUAUUAUAAUAAUACAAUUUUUUAUUAUCAAUUCCAUAAACAUUCUAGAUACAACAGGGUAUCUACACAAAAUGGGUAGAGCCCAUGGAAAUGUUCUCCAUGAUGGCUCAUAUGUUACGCGGAGAGGAAAGAUGCAUCUCAUCAUUCCUUCGAUGGAUGAAAUGAUGGCAGAACAAAACGGAAGACCUUGGAAAUUCAAAAAGUUCAUAUUCCGUCAUAUUGGCCUAAACAAUCAUCCAACUAGGCCUCACGAUUGGAAUCCAUUCUACAAUUACAAGACCUCUAAAGCAUCCUGCUAUUGAAACACCAUUUGUUAUUGAAUGAGAAAGUGAUAUUUCAAUACUUUGUGGCUCUUCGCCAUCAUUUGGGAUAUCAUCACAAGGAUUAUACUUUUAACACUGACCAGAAAAUCAAUCAAAAGUUGAUCAAUCCAUGGGGAAAGGCAAAUUGGAUAGAUAAGGUUCGCAUGGCUCAUAAAAAGUGACAAAUGUGUGUUCCUUAGGUUCUGCAGUAUCAAUAAAAUGAGGCUGGAAGUGUAAACCAAUACAAAUCUUGUAUGUCUGAUUUGGUUCGUUUUGUUGAUAAUACAACCCAUCAUGGUUGUGACCAUGCAAAGAAAUUUAAGGAACUGAUAUAUCUUGAAGAAGAUGUAGCCAUGGAGUUGGGGCACAUAUUUCCAGGCUUUCUCUCAGCCUUCACACAAAGUUUCGAUCGAAGUGUUUGAUUAUCUGAUAAUGUAGCUUCUAAUCUUAAUAUGCUCAGGUACAGUGAUAUAACAUGACUUAGCCAGAAUUUAGUUGUGUUUUCAGUGAUUUUAGUAACACUAUCAGUGGCAAGUGAUGUUUCCUUGGUAUUUUGUCACCAUGGCUUAGACUGUUUUGUUUUCUCUAAUAGUUCUUGAAUGUGAGCCAGAAUUUAGUUGUGUUUCCAGUGAUUUUCUUAACACUAUCAGUGGCAAGUGAUGUUUCCUUGGUAUUUUUUCACCA